rnacentral:rRNA from 1 species
GACGAACGCUGGCGGCGUGCCUAAUACAUGCAAGUAGAACGCUGAGACAGGAACUUUCCCUUCUGGAUGAUUUCCGCACGGGUGAGUAACACAUAUGGAACCUCCCUGGUUACGACUGAGAACUCUUGGAAACGCUGGCUAUUACCCCAUAAAAUUUAUUAUUCCAUAAUAUUCAAUAAAAAAAUGCAAUUUUAUCACUACCAGAUGGACCUUCGUUGUAGCAUUAGCUUGUUGGUAAGGUAACGGCUCACCAAGGCAACAAUUCGCAGCCGCCCGGGGAGGGUGAUCGGCCACACUGGAACUGAGACACGGUCCAGAUUCCUACGGGAGGCAGCAGUAGGGAAUCUUCGGCAAUGGGCGAAAGCCUGACGGAGCAACGCCGCGUGAGUGAUGAAGGUCUUCGGAUCGUAAGCUUCUUUGUUUGGGGAGAACGAGAUGGGGAAGUGAAUGUGCACGCUGUGACGGUAUCUUAUCAGAAAGCGACGGCUAACUACGUG